GAUGAACGCUGGCGGCGUACCUAAUACAUGCAAGUCGAGCGAACAGACGAGGAGCUUGCUCCUCUGACGUUAGCGGCGGACGGGUGAGUAACACGUGGAUAACCUACCUAUAAGACUGGGAUAACUUCAGGAAACCGGAGCUAAUACCGGAUAAUAUAUUGAACCGCAUGGUUCAAUAGUGAAAGACGGUUUUGCUGUCACUUAUAGAUGGAUCCGCGCCGCAUUAGCUAGUUGGUAAGGUAACGGCUUACCAAGGCGACGAUGCGUAGCCGACCUGAGAGGGUGAUCGGCCACACUGGAACUGAGACACGGUCCAGACUCCUACGGGAGGCAGCAGUAGGGAAUCUUCCGCAAUGGGCGAAAGCCUGACGGAGCAACGCCGCGUGAGUGAUGAAGGUCUUCGGAUCGUAAAACUCUGUUAUUAGGGAAGAACAAAUGUGUAAGUAACUAUGCACGUCUUGACGGUACCUAAUCAGAAAGCCACGGCUAACUACGUG
rnacentral:rRNA from 1 species